rfam:Helianthus annuus linkage group 5, whole genome shotgun sequence.
AUCCCAUGAUGAGGGCAAUUCUUUAUCAUAAUAUUAAACCUCUCAAAUACUUCAUGAAACAUUUCACUCGAUUUUUGUUGAAAACUUCUCAACCCUUUUCUAGCAU